AUUGAACGCUGGCGGCAUGCUUUACACAUGCAAGUCGAACGGUAACAGGCCGCAAGGUGCUGACGAGUGGCGCACGGGUGAGUAAUGCAUCGGAACGUGCCCUGCCGUGGGGGAUAACUACUCGAAAGAGUAGUUAAUACCGCAUACGAUCUAUGGAUGAAAGCGGGGGACCGUAAGGCCUCGCGCGAUUGGUGCGGCCGAUGUCAGAUUAGGUAGUUGGUGGGGUAAAGGCACACCAAGCCAACGAUCUGUAGCUGGUCUGAGAGGACGACCAGCCACACUGGGACUGAGACACGGCCCAGACUCCUACGGGAGGCAGCAGUGGGGAAUUUUGGACAAUGGGCGCAAGCCUGAUCCAGCAAUGCCACGUGCAGGAAGAAGGCCUUCGGGUUGUAAACUGCUUUUGUACGGAGCGAAACGGCUCUGGUUAAUACCCAGGGCUAAUGACGGUACCGGAAGAAUAAGCACCGGCUAACUACGUG
rnacentral:rRNA from 1 species